AGAAAAUUCAGGCUUGGGCCGAGCACGUUGUUUCAUGCCUGUAGUCCCAGAUUGCUGGGAUUACAGGCGUGAGCCACUGCGCCCAGCUGUGUUUGAGUUCUGUAGUAAACUGUCCGGUAGGUUUAAUUUGCUCAAGCGAUGAGGAAAAGACUUGCACUUUGUGCCUCCUGGGAAAGAGACUAACGUCUUCAACAUACCUUAUGGCAGAUAUUUAAUUUCAGAGUAGAGACCCCACUCUGAUGCCUGGUAAGGUUAUUGGAAGUGAAAUAUCACAAGAUCUUACAGUUUGUUGUGAGAUAAGGUAGGAUUUGGUGAGGAGUAACAAAUACUAGCAGAUUUCGGCCCAAACUUCAAUUAUAGCUAAACAUUACUGGAAAAAACCCCACAACCUACUUUAUGUAACAUAUAACUACUCACACACAUACACAAAAAUAAUACACACACAAUUUCAGCAAACACAAAUAAUAAUUUAAAGAAACAAAUUCAAAAUUAGAGCCAGGUAUGGUGGCACAUGCCUGAAAUCCCAGCUACUUGGGAGGAUCCCUGAAGACGAGAAGUUCCAGGCUGUAAUGCGCUAUGAUGGCUCCUGUGACUUGCCACUGCACUCCAGUCUGGCAACAUAGCCAGAGUCCAUCUCGUUCAAAAACAAAAACAAACAAACAAAAAACGGCGAAAUGAAGGCUCAGCCCUCAUCAGGUUUAGGUGACAGAGCUAGACCCUGUCUAAGAAAAAAAAUAAAAUUAAAUGAAAAUUCGUUAUCAGACAGUAAAGCAUGAACCCACAGUGCUGGUCAAGUCACUGCAGAUCUGAGUGUGUAUCAAGGUUUAACUCCAUAAGAUGAAAAGCAGGCAAUGAAUCUUUGGCCUGGGUGUUGACAGUCUAGGCUCAAGCCUCAGCUUUCCCACUCAUUAGCUUGCUGACCUUGGACAAGUCACUUAUAUUCUCUGAACUUACUCAUGAAACGGAGAUACAUUUCAUCUGCCUCUCGCAAGAAAAAGUCCUGGUAAAUACACAUUAGCAUUUCCGUUUUACACAGAACACUGACAGAUACUUUCCUAAGAUCAUGGAGUUAAUAACCACCAGAACCUAGACUCAAUACUUAUGGAACUUCAAAUCUCAUGCUUUUCUCAUUGCACUUAUGAUUACUCCAUUAUGUAGGAGCAAGGGAGAGUUGAGAGCAUUUGAAGAGGUUAUGCAAAGGACCAGCUCUGAGGAGUAGGCUUAGCAAAGUAACAUGAGGGAAGGUAACACCGUUCAUCUGUGUAGCGGAGUGGGA
rnacentral:lncRNA from 1 species